rnacentral:misc_RNA from 1 species
UCAUUUAGAGGAAGUAAAAGUNGUAACAAGGUUUCCGUAGGUGAACCUGCGGAAGGAUCAUUACNGAAUNGUCAACAAGAGUUGUUGCUGGUCCUCAAACGGGGGCAUGUGCACGCUCUGUUAACACAUCCAUUCACACCCUGUGCACCCUCUGUANNUCUGNGGUUGGGGGACCUGUCCUCCUGCUGUGGUUCUGCAUCNNNACACACACACACUGUAACAAAGUCUCAUGGAAUGUAUGUCGCGUUUAACGCAAUACAAUACAACUUUCAGCAACGGAUCUCUUGGCUCUCGCAUCGAUGAAGAACGCAGCGAAAUGCGAUAAGUAAUGUGAAUUGCAGAAUUCAGUGAAUCAUNGAAUCUUUGAACGCACCUU